AAGUCCUUACUUCAUAGGAUCAUUUCUAUAGUAACCUCUUCACGAGAUCAUCACACUAUGUGAGAUCACUUU